AUGGAGUUUCUUGGGUUUACGCUCAUGGGUGGGAACUCGCCGGCGUGGAUUGACGUGCCGGAGCGGAGCAAGAGCGCGUUCAUGGAGCUGAAGAGGAGGAAGGUGCACCGGUACGUGAUAUUCAAGAUCGACGACAGCACGGAGGAGGUCGUGGUCGAGAAGACCGGUGCGCCCGGGGAGAGCUAUGACGACUUCACGGCCUCGCUGCCUGUGGACGACUGCCGCUACGCCGUCUACGACCUGGAUUUCGUCAGCGACGACAACUGCCGCAAGAGCAAGAUUUUCUUCAUCUCCUGGUCUCCCGAUGAUUCUCGCAUCCGUGCAAAGACCAUAUAUGCUGUGUCCAGGAAUCAAUUCCGCCACGAGCUCGACGGGGUGCACUUUGAGAUCCAGGCAACUGACCCUGACGACAUGGACUUGGAAGUUCUGAGGGUCCGUGCUAAUAGAACCUGA
rnacentral:rRNA from 1 species